GCCGGAGACGGAAACCCUGAAUAUAACGACAACUUCCUGCCGCAAGAGGGCGCAGCCGCCCCACGAAACAUUAUCCCCACGUUCACUAAUCUUCACCGAAGCGUCUGAUCUCCCUCACGUGCGCAAAUAUAUGUCCAUGGAUGAUCAGUGUGGUACCCUCUGGUUCAGGUUCCUGUCCGUCUCGGUCCUCCACAUCUCCCUGUGGUUCUGAGACUCUGCCUACACCAACGGCCCAGGAUCCCCCAGUGUUUUCCCUCGAAUGGAACAGGGUACCAUGGCUUAUACAGCGCAUCCAGAGGCCCUGGGUCCAGCUUCACUCGGGCAACAUGCAGUGGCAGGUGUGCUGGUGCACAGAUGGAUCAGGAGAUGCUGCCUGCUGGUUAGCCUCUCUCUAAAAGGCUGUGUUUGGGGACUGGAUAUCGAAGCAAUUAAAAGAUCUCUGUCUGAGGAUCUACACAUUUCUACGCUGGAUGCUUUUUGUGACUGUUGAUCAUUUUCAUUCGUGGGAAGAUUAUAUUUUAUCCAGCUUGGCAUUGCCAAGUGCCUGCCCCGCUUGUAUCAUGUCCCUGACUUUCCUGUGUAUUUAUGAUUAAACAUCGAAUGGUGCUCAGCUCUCUGCAGGUAGAACACACAAUAAGUCGACUUUUGCCCAUUAAGACAAAGAUACAUAAUCACUGAGCGUGUUUGCAGAGUAAAAACUCAGUGAUGAAGUGUCAAAUGCAGUUUGGAUUUGAUUAUAUACCCAGUUUAAACUGCUCCUUAAUUCAAUUACAGCAAAGUAUGUUAAUAGCGCCAGUUUGUUGAAAUGUGAGGGUGUGUUCGGGCCGCCUGUGGGAGAGAGAACAUCUGCACGGCUCUGCGCUGAACGCUUUGUGUGCGAGUUAUAAAGAGGGAGGCAGAUAACGCCAUGGGGAGGAUAGUGUGCGGAGAGAGCAUGUGUGUCAGUGCAUGUGGGGCGUGAAUGGAGAAGAGGAGAUAUGUCUUCAUAAUAUAGUGUUAAAAAUCCAUUCAGCACCGUCCAUCCCUACUUUUUUUAUCUGAUGACUGCCCCCCCCCUUCCUUUCUCUCUCCGUCUCACUGUCUCCCUUUCACUUCCUGACAUCUACCAGGUGGCAGGGCCGAUAUGUGAGAUGCUGAGUAGGUGAUUUUAGAAUAUUCGUCGAGGAUCAUUCGAUCAUCCCCGCCCCGUGUGUGAGGGAGAUUUGUGGGAACCAUUUGAAUACUAAUGUGUGAUUUUCACCUCACGGGAUAAAAGAGGAGUCUGUGGCUGUGGAUUGUGGAAGCAAGAGACAAAAAGUGACAUUGUCACCGAGCAUAUAUGGCAGCCAAUUUUCAUUUGAGAUGAGUGGGAUCUCACUUUAAAUCUAACUCUAUAUCCCGGUUUGAUAAUCCCCCUUACUCUACAGACCACUCAGGGUAUUACCUGGUGGUUACAAUGCUUCAAUCAUGGUGAAAAAUACCUCUCUGGAGAAAUGGCUGUGUCUGCUAAUUUCUGAAAAUGGCAAUUUGACAAGCAAGGCCAUUUCAAAGAAGCCACUGACAAAGCGUAUGGACUAGACAAAACAAGUUCUAAUUUUACCUCUGCCAUGGAGGUGAUGUUUUCAUUUCUGACUGCUUGCUUGUCUGUCUGUCUAUUAGUUUGUUUCUAAGCGGCAUUACAAAAAAAACUACUGCACAGAUUGCCAUGAAAUUUAGUGGAAGGAUAUGUCAGGAAUGAACCUAUUACAUUUCGAGUGCAGUUUCUGGUCAGGGAGCGGAUCCAGGAAGGUUUUUUCACAUUAACAUUGUGACACAGGGCAUUUUUCAACUCAGAGUACAAUUCAUGGAUCUUGAUAAAAAAACAAUCUGACAUGUUUAGGGGAAUGAUAUUUAUGAGUGUGUGCAAUUUAGUGUAGAUCCAAAUAAAAAUCUGGAUAUAGUGGAUUUAAAUGUGGUUUCAUAAGGGGACUGUUAGGGCUUGGCAAAGGCGUGCUCUCUUCUGAAUGAAAUUCUCAUUUUCAUUUUCCCCUCAACUGCUUCCACUGCCUUUCGUUCCCAGUGAAAUAGUAAAAAUGCCUUUAUGUCCCCAUUUUGUUAUGAUUCACUGUGUCUCAGCCUUCUUGCCCCAACUCUGA